rnacentral:rRNA from 1 species
GAUGAACGCUGGCGGCGUGCCUAAUACAUGCAAGUCGAGCGAACAGACGAGGAGCUUGCUCCUCUGACGUUAGCGGCGGACGAGUGAGUAACACGUGGAUAACCUACCUAUAAGACUGGGAUAACUUCGGGAAACCGGAGCUAAUACCGGAUAAUAUAUUGAACCGCAUGGUUCAAUAGUGAAAGACGGUUUUGCUGUCACUUAUAGAUGGAUCCGCGCCGCAUUAGCUAGUUGGUAAGGUAACGGCUUACCAAGGCAACGAUGCGUAGCCGACCUGAGAGGGUGAUCGGCCACACUGGAACUGAGACACGGUCCAGACUCCUACGGGAGGCAGCAGUAGGGAAUCUUCCGCAAUGGGCGAAAGCCUGACGGAGCAACGCCGCGUGAGUGAUGAAGGUCUUCGGAUCGUAAAACUCUGUUAUUAGGGAAGAACAAAUGUGUAAGUAACUAUGCACAUCUUGACGGUACCUAAUCAGAAAGCCACGGCUAACUACGUG